ensembl:lncRNA
AUCAUAGCUUUGUGCCUUGAAGCGUGGUAAGUUUUAAUGAAUGAUUGAAAACCAAUCAGAAAUGGCGGUACAUUAAUACUGCAGGUGCCAAAUGACCUUUUCCUUUGAAGAGUGAAAAGAGUGAAAAAUGACGUUCCAGCUGAAAAAUAUGAUGCAAGUUUUAUUUUUAUUUCUUUCCUUAUUAUGUGUGCAACCCUCAUCCACUGCCGAUGCCUUCAGGGAUUGAAAUUAAAUUGUUCAGCUGAGUUCUUCACUUACUUUCCUUAAUCUACCUCUUGGCUUGUGACAAAGUGUGAUUUUGUUUCCCCCUCCCCUCCCCCCGAUGUCAUUUACAAUUUAAUAGAAGUGCAUUUGUGUUCGCCUGUGUUAUGAAUUAAAAUGGAGUUCUUUAUGGGUGGAAGUGCAUGCUGCCAUGGUUCAGAAGCCCUUCAUUCAAACUCUCUGUACCUUGAAGGUGAAGUAGUCCAGUGCUUAUGUGAACUCCAUAAAUUGAGUGGUAAGAGUCCUCCUUUUGGUGUUGAAGGUAAGGCUCCAGACUUGCCCUUGACAAGGCGUUUGCACCGGGUGAAUUAUAGAUGCAGUCUGUCUGGAUAAGUCGGUUCAUUCAGAGGGUUAUAUUUUCUCAAGAGACAUUAGACUCUCUGUAAUGAGUAUUAUCCCCAUUAGGAGAGACAAUGUCAUGGCCAUUUAUAUGAUUCAAUAUAGAAAAACCCAAACUAAACCCUGGCAAAUUUGAUGCAUCUGCUCUAGUAAUGGUGUAAACAAAAUAACACAAACAUCCCUCAAACAGCUUAUGACUUAAAUAUGACACAUGACAGCUGACGGAACAGAAAUCGUUUUAAUUUUCUCAGCGAGGCUUGUUGGUUUAUGGGCUUCAUAUUCAGAGAUAUAGUGUGAGAGGCUCUAGUGAGGACAGCUCAGAGAUUGCGCACCGUGGAACCCAUCCUGCCAACUCUCCACUAUUUCCUUUUGUUUAAGAGGCCCAACAUUUUCUUGGCAAUCUUACAGAUCAAAACUACAAGGUGUUUUGUUUGUUUUACCACCAAAAACGAUUCCCAGCCGACACACACCCCGCUAGCUCCUCCCAUGAAGCUGUCCCUGGGACAAGGGGCACGAGGAGAGACGCAGACAGUAAUGAGUGCCUGCCACCAUUGGACUGACAGAGCCUAUGGGUCAUCUCAGCUGUCUUUGUAUGCGCAGAUGUGCAUGUGCAUCAUUAUUAUCCUAAAUUAGUACAUUCAUCUGUCGGUCUUCAGGCCUGUACUGAUGCCUUCUUAUUCACGGUUGGUUGAACGAGGCUGGUCAGCCGAUGUGGGUCUUCUAGUUGCAUUUCAGACAGAUCGGCCUCCGGCUAACAAGUUGCCACCCUCUGCUGUUCAUGGACAACGUUGUAAUGGCAUCACUUAAUGAUGCUUCGUUGUCGUAUUGGAGGAUUGCUGACGUGCAUAUCGAUUAUUUGCAAAGCUCUGCCUAAUUUGGUUACUGUUUAAUGACUGCACAUUCCGUGGUUUGACAACCACCUUGAUCCCAGACAAACUGACGUAUAUAAAGUAUGUCUGUGGACAGAUUUUUCCAACAUGAUGGUUUUGAAUUUGCCAGAUUUUUUUUUUGCCACUUUUUAAGGUGGUCAAUUUGAGAUCAAAGUCUGCUGGUCUUUAAGAUCACAUUCACCCACAAUCAUCAUCUGCAGCAACAUGCAAAGACCAAGUGGCCACUAUUGUUUUCCUCUUAAGAGUCUCAACAUUACAGGUCAUUUAGCUGACGCUUUUAUCCAAAGUGACUUACAUUGCAUUUUUAACCCAUUGCUUUUUACAUUUUCUUGCUCAGGGACACACAGGGACAUGGGACAUUGCGCAUCUGGGGCUCAAACCGCCAACCUCGCAGUUCCCGGCACACCCUCUUUACCCCUGCGUCACGUCGACCCCUGGCAAAAUAAGGUCCUCAAUAAAAAUUGUUACACUUUACGGCCCAGGCUUGAUUCCAUGUUGCUGGUGCUGCUUUCCAUGUUGCCAACUGUUCUCCAGUUGUCCAGCUUAGGGGACUUGAUAAAAAAAAUAAAAAAAUAAAAAACACUUUCCAUAUCUAUAAUUGCUGCCGUCCUGUGGCCUCCUAUUUUGCAUUGAUGAAAAAUCCAAAUCUCGACAGACUGGCCCAGCUCUGUUACGGCUGAAAAAGCUAUGAUUAUUCGCAGUUAUUAACUUGACACAUCAAAUACCUUGCAGUAUCAGAUCAGUGAAGUUUCUGUAAAAUUGAAUCAGUUGCUUUAUGAGAGAAGCAGAGAGGAUGUGAUUUUCCUGCAAUAAUCAUUGAGGGCAUUUGAAACCAGAAAACAGGCUGGAGUAAUAAUUCUCAUUUUGCUGGAUAAUUACAGUAGAGCGGUUUAGAGGAAAAGAGCCCCAUUAAAAUUUUACUUGUGGAAGAUCUGAAGCGGGGGAAAAUUGCUUUCAGUGAGUUGGAAUUCUCGAGAAAAGUUGUUUGCUGGUGUCAGCAUCUUUUGGGGCGGGGUAAAUGUGAUUUGGUUUGCAAGAACAAUCCUGGCCCGUUGCAUAGAUUUAUCCCGAGAGAUAUCUGCCUGUCAUGACCCAGGUGUAUUUUUGUACACCUGGGUCAACAUUCCCCAUAAGCUACGAACCCAUCUGCCGUCUUCCAAAGUUUGUUUUUAUUUCCUUCUUUGCUCCGGAGUCAAGAGCCAAAAGUCUUAAGUGGAAUAUUUCUGCCAAUAUAAAGAUCACGUACUGACUCUAUCAGGCUCGUGUUUCAUUUCUCUUCCUCCUCACACUUCUUACUAUAUAUGUUUUUCAUCUUCCACUACUACGACUGCUGCUUUUAUUAGUUAAGGCGCGAUCCCUGUGGAAUAAAUUGCAAUUUCAAAAUAUGGUCUUAGUGGAGAAAACAGGCUAGUGCUGAUAUUUCAUAGAUCAAACAAGAAAGACUUGAUACACAACCUUAUUGGCAAAAAAAUUAUAUCCAAUCUGACUGGAGUUAUCUUAAAAACAUAUCACAGAUGGCAAACUUUUUCAGAAGUACAUAAUGUGAAAAAAGUGAAUUUGCUCUUUUCUGAGACGCAGUAAUAAGGGAGUGAAAGGAACGACGAAGUGAAGUGAGUGAAGUGAAGCAUGAAGCAAUGAGCAGGAGGACGAGGAGCCAAGGUGGUGCACAUGAGAUCAAGAUGUUACAAUGGAACCGUGAGAGCUUAGUGUCGUCACAGCGAGACGCCGGUGGAGGGGGGAAAUCAUGUCGGGGAGUAUCCCGCUGUAGCAAGUCACCUCGCCAACUCCCAGUUCAGAUGAACCUGCCCACCUUCUGCUACCCAGCCUCGACACGCCCUAAUGUUUUUACCUCCUCACUAUGCAGACACGGCGUUUCUCUGCAAGGAAGAGCUAUGCCAUUACGAGCAGGUGACUGUGGCACCAGCGUGGUAUCCUGAGGUCAGGGAUGUGACUGCAAGUGGUGGGAGAGGAUUAGUGGCUCAGCACAGGGAGAGAGCGGCCUCCCUGCAGUGGAGAACCAGCUGGUCAGCAGGCCGGCCGGCCCGGCUCCAUCUGUCGGUCACCUGCUCGACCCGCUGGGGAGCGCUGGUAAAUCUCUCCGCUUCCCGCGUAGCUCCCAGAGAUUAUGUCACUCGGUUUGGUCGUGCAGGAGUCAUUCUGUAUCCUUCUAACCAGCAAAAUCAAUUGGGAUUUGCAAUUAUUUCCUGUCUUCAACCUCAGGCUUGUUAGUGUGCAAACAAUGAGAUGAUAUUCAUUUUAAGCAUUGGGGCCACAUUUGCAAUGUGCUAUAAUGGGUCCCUGGGCGCAGUGUAUUUUCUCUUAUUCUAUGCAUAAAGUGAAGGGAUAAACCCUGAAUUCAAAAUGUAUUCCUGCAGACCCUGCCUGAGGGAAUUACUGACAUAGUGAUGUUGUCACCCGGAAACAUGAGGAUAUCAGAGUAAACAAGGAGUUGUGAGACAUGUAUAUGCAGUGUUGGUAAGCCUCUAUUUACAAAUAAACAGUAACAAAAGUGUAAAUUGGUUCCUAUGAGCACAUGAAUGCAAAGGAUAUAAACAGAUUUCACUGGAGGUUUCACGGGCACGCCCAAAUGGUCCCUUGGAAGACCAAGAACUAAAUAAAAUUAAAAGUGGCCUCGGUCUCGAAGAAGAAGCGGUUGAAGGUGGAUGGAUGGAUGUUUGAACAUCGUCCGGUAAGAUCCCAUGUUCCUGUAAAGAUCUAAAGAUCUUUCCUAUUUAUACCAUCUGAUGGUCUCUCAUUCAGGCAUUUAUCGAGUGAUGUCAAUUCAAGCCUGUGACAGUUCAGGGUUUAGAAAUCAAUAGAUUAUAAUGGAGACAAAAGCUCAGCUGACCCUGAUAACUCUUACAGGCUGUCUGUGAAGACAUUUUUGGCAAAUUAUGGCCAAUUCACGCCAAUUCAUUUAAAAAAAUGUUUAUUUUUAAUAUCACUGGGAGUAUUGCAACAACACAGAGGCGUCCUCAAAAUUUCCCAUCAUGAUGAGACCAUGUCUGCAGGCAGACGGUAGAUUUGCUGCAUCCUGCACAAUUGUUGGCAUAAACACAUGCUAAACUUUGCCUUGUUCACACUGUGGCAGCUCAUACCAACUAAGUUGACAGGAAAUGUAAAUUCUCUGUAAAUGUGCUCAAACUGCUAAGGAAAACUGUGCAAUCCAACCCAAAAACAGAGUAGUUUCUGAGUCGACUUGUGUGGGGAGAUUAUUGUGCUGACAACUAUCGUUGAUGAAAACUUGAUGACAUUUACAAACCAAAGGGUUAAGGGUUGUCAACAGACUUAUUAAAACUCUUUCAACACUGUGUUUUAUGUUCAUUCAAAAACAGUAUUUUUCUGUAAUCAUUGAGGAUUUCCCAGGGAAUGUUAUUUCCCAAAUCUUCAAUCGCCCCAGUUCAGUCACAGCUUCUGCUUUGUAUCUCAUCCAUAACCUGAGUCAGGUACCGAGAAACAAAAGAUCCCCAUCCGCUCCUAUUUGAAACAAUGCUGCAUUUUGUUUAUACUGCUGAAUCCACCUGACAGCUGUUGUGGGCUCCUGUCAAAAAGUGUUGUUUUCUUUUCUUUUUUUUCAUUCACAGUCUCAGUCACUCUAACAAGGAGUGUAUAAACAGAAGGUAGAGCAGAGAAAGCAAAAGCUGCGGAAAUGCCUCAAUCCGAGAGAGUCAGCGGAAUUCUGGUUAAACUUUCACAUUUUUUGGAGCCUUCAUCCGAUAUACGCGACAGUGUCGUGGAGAAAUGACAUACUACAGUGCGCUGAGAGCCAGAGUAACAGUUUUUCUAUAAUGGCUCCGUUUUUCUCAUGCUGCCGCCUUUGUGCUCAACACUGAAAAGCUGCCAUCUCUCCCCAACAAUAACAGAUGCCAGAAAUCCUGAGCUCGGCUAGCCUGCGGCAGUAAAAGCAAGAGGGGGAUAUUGGCUCCUGAGUAGCUGGCAUCCAGCCUGUUUCAGACAGGCAAUUCCAGGGGAGCAAUUGUCUGGUUUAAUUGCUCCAAAAAAGAAAGACGAGGCGUUGAAACUAACAAGCUGUCUACAGAAUCCCUAAUUUACAGGCUCUGCGAUAAAAAAUGAUUCAUAUUUCUCUCUUCCUCUCUCUUUCCCUCUUCUGUGUGUUUCCGUUAUUGUAAAUAUUCACAAUGCGGGUUAUUGGGCUGGCAUAAUUUGCAGUUGUGAUUUGCACAGUGGGACAAACGCACACUGAUUUCACUAAUUAUCGGAAGGAUGAUGACCGUUUUGUGAAGCAGAAAUCACUUGGAAAAUUCAAACAUUCUCCCCUGACUUCACAAAAUGUGUUAUUUUAAGGAACGUUUAAAAACGUAUCUGGAUCUGCAUCAAAUAGAUACACAGGUUCUUUUCUCUUUAAUCGAAUGAAGCAUUUAAAGUCAGUUUCUGUUACAAAAUCAUUUGAAAUGGUUUUAAAUAUUGAGCUGCGGCAUUUGUUACCCCACCCGUACUGUUAUUUACAUGACAAUCUGUAAACUUGUUUGUUAGAUUUAUUACCCAAUAGCUGGUUUUAUUGCCUUCUUCCUGGGUUCAUUUCACUGUUUCACUGUUUGCUUUAUCUCCUAUUAUCAUAAAAAAAGAGUUGUGGUGAGACAGGAGCUUACAUUUGUAGCAAUUCUGCCUUUAAAAAUGGUUACUCCAAAAGACAAUAGUUAUACUGUAUUUUACUCCUGAGUCAUUUUAGGGUUAUUUCCUCUUUUCUGUUACGUUAAAGGGGGCAUCCGCAAAUGCAGGCGAAAACGCAGCAGGCACCAGAAUGUCGGCCAAGUGAAACAUGAACCUUUGAUCUUACCGCAGAUAUAACCCUCAACAUCUAUCGCUGUCACAGAAUAGCUUCACUUUUAGUAAUUGAUUGUUUUGCACAGAAUGAAUGGCUCAUGACAUCUAAUCUGGAGUCUCUGCAGUGAAAACAAAUGAACUCAAAAAUAGAGGGGAAAAUAGGUUAAGAGCAAAUGUCUACGGUACUAAAAUCAAUGUGCCGCAGUCCAAAAUAUUGAAUAGUCAUGUUAAGGCAAAUUCAUGCACACACAAUGCCAAUAUGGAAAGGGACAAUAAUACGCCAAGGCAUAUUCCUAAAAAUAGAAUGUGUAGUGUGUGCGUGUAAGGUUGUGGGCCGUGGCCUGUUCCUCCUCCCUCUGCAGCAGCCUCCAUCCAUAUUCAUUACCUCCCACGGCGAUGGGGAAGGAGGAGAGGGGAAGAAGGGAGCAGGAGGAGCAAUGAGGAAUCCGUCUGUUAGUUAAAAGGAAAGGGGAACACAGGUGUGUGUUUGUGUGUAUAACACCAGGUUAUCUAUAUCUUACCUUUGCAAACAUUAAUAACACUGUAAACUAAGCAAUAGUUUCAUUUUUUUUUUUUAUAAAUGAGGCCUCGUCAUCGCUGAUCUGUAGGUUAGUGUCUUGUUUUACCGAAGGUGAAAAUAGAAUGCGUGUGCUGCUUUGACAGUGCUUUGUGUGUGAACUGUGUGAAUGCCACAGUUUUCAUUCUAGUUAACUGAAAUCCACACCGUCCCUCUCUGAACAGUACAAUAACACUUGUGAUGUGAUCAGACAACAGGAUAAGGGAGGUGUUUGGCUUGCGAUACUGUAAAACUGAUGAGAUCUCUCACCUCAGUGCCCACCUGCUUUCUCUAUUCACAUGCACUUCACACGUAUCUGUCACACAUACACGUUCCAAAUGAGACGAGAUCUUGACAAAAAAAAUCCCCAAUGGGACAUUUUGUCAAGAUCUCUCUGCGCCUCAUCAUUUCCAUCUACAUUCCCCACACAUUCAAUACAGUCUCUCGUCUCACUUUACUCUGAAUCAACUUUGUAUUGCUCUGAAAGAUUUGAGCAACAUGAAGGUUUGUCGUUAUCUCAGUGUGAUCACCUGGAAUCCCUUUUCUCUGUGUGUCUGCCGUUGAUUGAUCACAUGCUUAUGUCCCUCAAACAAGUCUUUGGUGUUUGAUUUGGAAUUAUGUUACGUUUAGCCGGCAACCGGACAUACGGAGAUUCCCCGUGGACCACUUGAUCGGGUAUAUGAUGUAUUGUCACGUUCCAAGCCCUUUCAGUAGCUCACUUAAAAAUUCAAUGUCGAAAAUAUUUCCGGAAAAUCAGCAGCGCUAAUUACUAUCUUGUUACGUAAAUAUUGUUUCCCUAUUUAGUUUUUCCUGUACAGGAAGGCAUCAUUACUACCUAUCAUACAUGAGGGAGAAAGUAAGACUGACGCUAUCUAAUUAGUUUAUGUAUGUAGCUGACGCUUCGAGUCGAAUGUCCUCACUUUCGGAUGGAGAAUCCAAUUCAUGUACAGUAUGUUCUCCGCCCACGCCAGCUAUUAGCUACCUCCGCUCGCCUAAUUACCGCCAUUCAUCCUUUAUCCACGAGAAGUGGUGGGAAGCAGCUGGUACAGGGUGGCUGUGUUCUUAUAUGCAUGUGCAGAAACACGCACACAGACGCACGCCGCUCAGAAAAUGUUGCGCGGAAAUAAAAACCAAGUGAUCUUCUGCCAAUAGUUUAAAUAAUUCUGAAUGCGUAUUUGGUAUCCUUAAGCUGUCUCCUAAAUCACAGAGUGUAACUAAGCUUUUUUUGUGUGGGGGAGGGAGGUGAACAUCAUGAUGAUGGUAAAUUUGGAUUAACUCGCGCUCGGGUUAAUGACAAGAAUCUCACCUGUGAACUCAACUGUGACGUUAUGGAUGCUGAGCUUCAGCUCUGCAAAAUCAUCCGGCCUCCAUCUCCGCCGCUCCUCCUGCCCACCACUUAAUCCGGCUGUCAUUCUCACUUCACCCUUCGCCUGCCUCAAUCCUUCACACUGCACGCGCAUUCUCGCUUGCAUCAACCAACAAGCGGGGCCUGUUAUCGCUGGAAUAACCCCGGCGUGCGGCACCUCAACAGGCCUCCUCUUAUGACAACUGGAUAAUUAGGUGUCACAGUAGAAAUUGAAAGGUAAACGGACGGCAGAUACUGUAAAGCCAUGAAGCUGUCAGCUGUAUCACUUUUUUCCAUGCGAGCUGGAGGAUUGGAAAUAAGGUAGAUCCGGUCUGGAGGUCAGUAAAAGAGUGAAGAACCCCGAAGGCGCAACGAAUUAGGAGGGAGGAUUAAAAGCUACAUAAAUGCAGGAGAAAAACGAGAAGAUGGGAGAAAAUCUGAAGUGCAGGAAGAGACGUGAGAAGGGGAGAAGGUGGUGCGAGUGGCAGAGGCCACUGCCUGGCCGCUAACAAAAUGCCCCGGUCAGACCUCUUGUAUGUACACACGUGCAUGAGAAAACGCACACAAAGGGCAGUCGGGCUUCCUGAUCGAUUGAGCCGUGCCCUGCUCCGACGUCUCAGCAGGCCUCGAGAUGAAUGAGCUGACCUACGAAGAGAAAGAAGAGAAAGGAGGACAAAACAAACCUUUGGCUUGUAAAUCUCAGAGGCUUGUGUCUUGUUAGCAUGGGUGGGUUCAGUGUGCUUAUCGACACUUGGGUCGUCUUUCUUUCCGUUCUGUAUGAGUGUGUGUUUGUGUACUUGGAAAUCCUCUUUGCAAAGGACCAGUUUGAGUUUUAUAUCUAUCUACUAUAUCUUUUUGGCCUGUAAACACUCUCAGAGCAGAGAGGCCACAACAAGCUGACGUACGCCUUCGGCUGCAUUCUUUUAAACUUCGGCACCUUCCUGCAGGUUUGUGAAGAGGUGUUUACUUGUGCUUCAGACCAGAACCUUUGUGAAACAAUCAGCAGUCCUCCUCCCUAUUGCAAGACGUUCUCUUCCUUCGCUCUCUAGCUCACUCGACCAUCUCGCUCGUUGAGCCGGAGAAGAAAUUGAAACGCCGUCUCCACAAAGGGCAACCAACAAUGUAACUUUAUAUUAUACCUUAUUUCUAAGGUUAAGGGGCGGAUGAGAUGUAAAUUCAGGUUAAUGUAUGGGUACGUAUGUGGGUUUCUAUGUGUGCGUGUGUGUGUUUAUAUGUGAGUUAAGGAAAAAUUGGUUUACUAUUGAAAAAUAUAUUUCUUACUUAAAGCACUAGAUUCUAUGACUUUUUUUUAAAUGAUUAGUUUUUAUUUAAGGAAAAAUAAAGUAUUUUCCCUAACAUAACCAAGUGUUCUAUUCUAUUCUAUCCCAUCAAUUUAUCACCUACAUAACAAGACAUGUAGCCCAUUUGAAGGUUUAUGAUAAGCUAUUGUUGAAAUAUUUUUUCCGGCAAGUAUCCUUUUGUCGGAGAAAAAAGAAACAUCACACACAUUGAUUUAGAAAAGGGCAAAAGGCUUUUUCAGAAAAUGCAAAAGGUAAGAGCUGGCGAAAAUCUGUGUUUUUUAGCAGUUGUGUGUGACCAUACGUUGUGCACAGUGUACUUCUCCUGCUGCUAAGAAUCAUCCAUCACCUCUAAGCUGAUGGUGUGUCAAUUCUGUGUCCUGUUUGCAAACAUUACUCUUAUAAAUGUCCUGUUUUAAUGGUUUUGGUGUCAGACAUUAAGCAUUUUUUCAUCCUACAGCAUGUAGCUGACACCAUACUCCCCCUACUAUACACAUUUCCUUUGAUACAAACACGACACGUUAACAUAAUAUAAUUACUCCCGCAAAUAUUCAGCGAAGAUAUUAAUUCUUCAUCAAGCCAAUUAGGUACGAGAGCAUCCAAUCAAUCAAUCUCAUUACCGGUAGUUUCUUUUUGAAGUCUUCACGCUCCCUUCCCUGCAUGGCAUGCAGCACUUAUUGCCAUGGUGCUUACCUAGUGUCAGCGCUUUCUGUAACUUAUUGCAUUGCUACGAAGAGGCCCGCUCACAGAUGGCUUUCUAUUACAUUCCGCGUAGAACAUGUAUAUAUGAGGAUAAUAUUCAGGGAGAUGAUCACUACACUGUUUCAUGAGAAUGGCUGUAAUUUUCUAUGCACAGUAAUAAUGACGUAACAAUUCCUUGUUUAAGAGAACAGCAGGUACUGUGGCUGAUAGUAAUUUGGGAGCCGUAACAGGAUCCAUCAAUCACGUAGUCUCAUACACCCACAUGCGGGUUUGACACACGAGCCCCGAAACCACCUUUAAGCAGGUCUGAUUUCAAGAGAAUCGCUGUGGCUUCGUGUUAAAAAAGGAAGCGACUGCAGAUGUGCGUAAGGAGCAGCUCUGCCUCCGGCGACUGCUGUGCAGUCCUGAGUCUUGAUUCCGAGUUGUUUUUAAAGGCACAAUUAUGUUGUCUGAAGCCUACAAUCACAUUAAUGCAGGAGUUAAAGACAGUUCAAGUGUGCUUUUACAAGCAAUGUUCUUAAAGAGCCACGGCUGGUGAUUCAGUCUAUGUUUCCUCCAUCUCUGUUAUAGAUAAUUCUGUGGAGCUCUCCCAAGGGCUGCAUUAGUAGCUCGGAUUCUUUUGUAUCUCCUUUUAACUUCACAAUCCACCUCAUCCGUUCAUUUGACUUUUAAAAGUCUAGUCUUUUUUUCUUCCUCCACCCCCCCACCCCCUCUUGUCUUGCUUCCCUCCUAAUUCUCCAUUUCCCCUCUGUGCCGCAGACUCGUGUAGCAGAUUCAAUAUUGAUGAAGUGGAUCGAUCGGAAGAGCGCCACCCUCCCUUUUCUGGUACUGUAGUUCUUGAGUAAUCUGUCCCUCAUCCAAUAUUCUCACACAAGCAAUAAACGGCUGUAGUUAAAGAUUCCUUCCACUUCCACAGAUCACAAUCUCCAAAGCAAAGAAUUCUGACAUAUCAACAUUUAAUUUGGUGCUUGUGCUACUAUUAAUUUUCUGUCCUAGGACACUCAUUUGUUGCAAGGUAAUACACUCAUACAUUAGAUCCAACUGAUUAGAAAAAGUAACGACUUACUUACAGGUGCAGAGUAGAAGCCAUUCUGUGUCAUAAUAUAUGUGCAUAUAUAUAUAUAGGAAUGUAGGAAUAUAUAUAUAUAUUCCGACAGAGAUUAAUCCAAGUAAUGAUGCAGUCAGGGUCUGACCUUUAAUUUAUAACACCCCAAGUUCAGAGGAAAGUUGUAAAAAAAAGAUUUCAUUUCUUCCCAAUUAUAAUAUCAGAGGUGAGAAAAAAAGAUGGAAAGAGAAUCAUGACAACCUCUUUGUUUCGACUGUUAUUACACUGGUAUUUUCCCUUUUUAUAUAUCAUCUCCACUGACACGGUUUCGUGUCAAGCCUCUACUUUUGUAAAUUGGGGUUAAUCUCGACUUGUGGCCCCAGAGAUUUCGCAACAGAGGUGAUCCUUGACUGUAGCACCUCGAGCAUCAGCCAUCAUCACAGAGGAUUAUGUGACUGUUGGUCUGCAGUAUCAAUACCUCGGUUAGCGCUACAUCUGUCUCGCAUGGAAUUUAACUAGUUACAAGAUACUCUGAUGAUUGCCUUUUUAUUCCCUCAGAGAAAAUAAACCGAGUUACAUUUUAAUCUUCCGUUGAAUCUAAGCUCCAUGAUUUACAGUGUCUAAAUUAAAUGAAGCAGUCUGCUCCCUCAACAUUUACACAGUGAAACAGGUCUGGUAGAGGAGUAAUUGUGGAAAAUUAAACUUGGGCUCUGUGGCGUGUUGUUCAGUGUGCAUAAAAUAAAUGUAAUUACUCACAAUGUAUCACAGAAACCGUAUCGUCCAGCCAGCUUUGGUUUGGUUGCACAACAAUCAAACCACAGUUGACAAUUACCAGCAAUUCAACCGUAUCUGCUCCUCAGAGACUUGGACUAUACUCAAUCUUUUUUUUUUAAUCACUGCUAAACAAUUAGCAACUUUCCUAAGGCUGGUUGCUCAUCCUUGUUCAUCUGACCAUGAAUAGUCUGUUUUCCCAUAAUCCUUUGAUGGCCUGUAUUUGUACAGCGCUUUUCUAUCCUCCCACCACUCAAAGUGCUUCAACACUGCAUGUCAUCAUUCACCUAUUCACACGCCGAUGACAGGAGCUGCCAUACACAGUCACACCAUGGUCACGGCUAUGAGGAACAAUGUUGGGGUCGAGUGUCUUGUCCAAGGACACAUCGACAGGCGGCCUGGGAUCAAACCGCCCGCCCUCUGAUUGGAGAACAGCCGCGUGCUCCACUCACCCACAGUCGCUCCACAACAAGCUGGUGAUGAUUGUAAUCAGCCCUUAAUUGUGAAUUGGAUGUGAUUUUUUAAAAUUGCGACCGAGAGUGAGCUCCGGAGAGCUGAUGAGCUCCGGCCUUAUCCAAAUACAGGUUUGUUGUUUAUUGAUCGGCUUCAAUAUUCGCAUGAUCGGGUCGUGAGAUUCUCUUUACGCAAAGACACAGACAACCAUAAAUAAACGCCCACCACCACGCCAGAGACGAUGUCAAAUGAAAUGUUAAUCAUUGCCUUGAGAAGUAAACAAUGCUUAUAUAAAUGUUCUCGUGCACUACGUUACUUGUUAACACAGAUCAGCACAAAUAGAUGCAUGCUCUUGGUCCUUCUUUUGUCUCCACGUGAUUGUAUUCCUGGAAAGCACGCAGAGGAGAGAGGCAGAAAACCAAAUGCACGUCUACCACGGUCUGGGUAGAGGUCUCGGAGACAGGGGGAAGUGUAAUGAUGGAUGGAUUGUAUCUACUUCUUCCAGACAGCCGGUCUUCAGUGUGGACAUAUGGACAACCAAGGCCACUGGUCAACACACACUUUAGCCCCACGUUUAACUUGUGCGUGUGUGUGUGUGUGUGUCAUUGCAAAUCGGGCUGCUGUCUCGUCUCCUUAUCUGACCGUGGUUCCUCUGGUUGGGCGUUUUUCCCUUCCCAUCUGCCCCGGCACCGCCUUUUGUCGUCCCCCGGCCUGCUAUGCUGACAGGCGGAGUUGCCACGGUGAUGGAUGACUGUGCGCUCAGUUUCAGUGUCUGAGGCGUGCACCUCUGCUACCUGCCGUGUGGGUCCCUGUCAAAGACUUCCUGUCAGGUCAGCUAUAUACCCCCCCUCUCGCUCCCCCUUCUUUUUAUUCAGCUCUUCAUCUUCCAGCUCUCGGCUUUAUUUAGCUCACUGCCGGGACCUAUUUCAAAAGUUGGAGCAGAAUGUAAAAUUUCCCAGAAAGGGUUGUCAACCUGCUAACUUUUGAUCCACGGAACAAAGAGACUGAUUGAAGAGACGAAGAAAAAUCACAUCAUUCAAAGCAAUUCCCUUUUCAAUCAGCUAGAUUGGUUGAGUCUAACAAGGGUUUAGACACAAAGCAUGUUAAUGAAUGCCUUCUCCUUAAUACGAUGAUGUGAAUUCACUGCUCCCCUUUGUUGCAGUAACUUGAGCGUGUUGGUGAGUGAAAGUGUGUCUGCUGGCGCGAGUGCACGUGCCUUCGCCAGUGUGCAAUCGCGUGUUCAUUAUUCAGCAAGCUUCCUUAAGAGCCACCCCGGUUUUACGGCACGCAUUUUAAAUACUGGCCCUUUUGAAAUGAGGUCCAUAAGCAAAGCACUCUUGAGCUUUGUCUGCGAAUGUAAUUAGCCAAUUAGGCUGUUCUUUAUCAUGGACCAGCAGCAGCCAUGCGCCUCUGCUACCAGGGACUAGUUAGUGUGUUCUAAUGAGCCUUUAGCUUCCAACCAGAAGCCCUGUCAAGCAUUAUUAAUAAAGAGGCUAUUUGUUCAGGCCUUCCAGUUUAAACACUGUUAAUACCGGAGAGCCAUGCUUAUUGAGAUUUAUCUGCAAGAUCCAUGAAUGUGAUGGAGAGUGCCAGAUCAAAAAAGGUAAAAAAGAAACUUGUUCUUACAUUGAGUUACAUCAUUUGGGUUUUUUAAUUUUAUUAGAAAAUGAACGUUUGUUGUUAUAUCCUAAACUGUUAUUCUCAAAUAACUAUAUGCCAAAUUUCACAAGCGGAAAUAUGUUCUAUGCAUCUAAAACAGGCUCCGGCUGUUUUGCAAUUGCUUUGCCCCUAUUUUCUCAAACCUUUUGUUUUACACUAUUAAACUGUCAGUUUGAACAAGGAAGAGCAUCGACAUGUGGAAUUACUCAUUGUUUAUGAGGGAAAAGAGAAGAAGAAUUUUAGGAUUCCAUUCUUUGUGGUGGACUAUUGCACAGUAAUCAUAAAAGACUUGAUACGCUAAUAACAAAAGCAACUGGUGACAGGUGAGUUUUAUAGUAAUUGGUGUAGUCUUUGAACUGAUCAAAAGGAAAAGUGGAUGAAUCAAGAAACUACCAUCACCACGCUUGAAGAGAAGCUUUGAAAACAAUUUAAAACCAAAUGCCAAACAAACAAGUUAACAGUUAAGAGUUAAGUAUACGCAUCCCAACUUUACCUUCCUUAUACGUACAUCAUGUAGAGAAUCUACAUAUAGGCCUAUCGUAUAUAUGUAGACGUCAUAUAUUUACAUAUAGAUAUGUAAAUAUAAAAUAUCAACACCUGAAUGUGCCAAUCCAUUUUUUUUCGUUUAAGGCUUCAUAUGCGGCUUUCAGUUCUCAAAUCCUGUUUCCACUGUACCAACUUUGGAUUUUAUUCAAAAAAUCUAAUUCUACCAAGGAAUGGAAGCUAUGACGAUAUACUGUAAACCAUGAGAUGGCAGAUUGUUCACAGAUGUUGCUGUUCUCUUUAUAUUGUGGUUUCUGCAGCACAUUUGAAAUAUUUUGCAAAUCAAUGAGCAGGACUGCUUUAUGAUGUUAAUAGAUUUUCAUGAGUUUUGAAUUGAUCUGAUAAACCUUAAACCUCUAUCUACAGUUUCUUAAUAGUUUCCUGAAAUGUGAGUUUCUGUUUCUGUUUCUGAUUUUGAGAAUAAACAUUUACUUUCCUGAAGGAUCCUAUCUCUUAACCUUUCCCCUUUUCUAAAUUAAAUUAAUUUUAUUUGCUCUAUUUUUCAGUUCUAGACUCCAGAGGAAGUUAAGCUGCACCCUGGCACGAGUCUAAAUCUGUAAAUUUGUAAAUCAUCUGGGACUCUUAACAGUCCCCCCCCCCCCACCCUCCUCACACAGCCAUUUUCCACAACACAAGGAUGAGUGAUGCUGCCUCAUCUUUGACUGGCAGAAUAAACACUUCCACCAUAACAAGAAGGCUGCGAGACAAACUACACGCAACAACAGAGGUAGACAGGCACACCACAACUGUGACAGCACACGGCACGGGAGAUAAAGCUGCGAGGGUGUUAGCCGAGAUGGGUUUGUGAGCCCGGCGAUGAUAACAGAGUUAGGGGGCAGAUUCACGCGCAUGAUUGUAUGAAAAGAAUACUCACAUGACUGUGACAGUACAGGGGGAAGCUGUCGGUGGGGAAACUUUGAAAGGUGUUAGUUGGUAGAGGCACCGACAGUGGGACUAAUGGGUUGACUUGGAAAAAAGUUUAACUAGGGUUUGUGUCGCGCUGUUCCCGGGGUAUUUUUUUUGUUGUGUCAAAUUGGGGGAUAGGGAUCUUGAGAGCACAAUAUACUAAUCGCACACCCAGCAACUCUUUUUAUGCCUGCAAUUAGCAGCAGAAAAAUAGAUCAAGACCGAGUGGUAAAACCGGAAAUGGGUAAAGUCAGAGGCACGGGGGCAUGGCGCUGGGGAUCCGGCAGCGAAUUAAGGAAAUGAAACACUAGGGAGGGAAAGCAAGGCACAAUCACAAGGAAAUUUGCACGAGGGCAGUAGAAAAUACAAAAAUGCAGAAAGGAUCAAAAAAAGAAACGCAACAAAAACGGUUGUGAUAGAAAAGGAAGCCGUAAGCGUCGAUAAAGAAAGACUGACAGGCGAAAAGAGAGACCACAGAAAUGUACAUACCGCUGAUAUUCUCAUUCUGUGCAGCAACCCGGCUCCAAUGUGUUGAUUAUGAAAGCAUCAUUUGAGACUGACAACCUUGUUCCCAUUGUACAGCCUGCCAAGCACAUUCCCGGCCCCCAUCUUCCACUCAGUGUUCUCCCUCUGUGCUCGCACAAUGGCCGUCUGAUGAAGACUGAAUGAUUGGAGGGGGGGGAGUGGAAAUGUAAAAGAAUAACAGAAAAAUACAGACUUGGAGAGGCUGCUGAUGGGGAGAGUGCAAACCCCCCCCCAAAAAAAAACAACAGAGACAGUGGAGUGGAGGACAGGGGCUCAAUGCAGCUGCAAUUAACGGAGCGAUUUUGUGCCAGGAAAUAUGCUAAUUUCUGCUUUGUGUGAGCAGUUGAUUGGCCAUUUGCUCGGCGCACCAGGCAGUGCCGGCAGGGGAAUCGGUGGGCUCGGACUUCUCUGCUUGGCACGGCGUCCGUAACCAGCCUUAUUUAGCUAAACGCCACCACUGUUAGCGGCGUCGGAAAGGAAAAAGACUUUUAUCGGCGCCGCUGUCCGUGUGCCUGCGCGUAACAUCUACGAGAUGCAGGGAAAGAGAUGCUCACUCAAUUAGCAGGCGCCAGAGACCCAGUUCGGGACAAAGAUACUCAUUAAUAGCCCCGCAUGACCUUUACAUGCGAUCUGAGCCCCAAUCUGCUAUGGCGUGGCUGUAACUUUGGACCUGAAGGAUUGUGGGAAAAUUGGAUAGGUUCAAGUGGCAUGAGAAGAAAAUGCAAAACAGUUUGUUUUGGGAACACUAAACCAUGAGAUGUAUCGUAUGUUAAGCAUCACAUAUACAUUCACAACUAGAUCGACUUAGUUACUGGAUCAAUUAGUAGGUAUUUCUUCCUCCACAUUAAACAUGACAUGGUUGUUGCCAGUUAAAACAAUAAUCACUUCAACUACAUAUUUCUUGCUUUACUGCUGUCAUUACUUGCUGUAACGUGUUGCCGUGGAGCACUUUGCCUGCACAUACAAUUAGACACUCUGGAGAUUAGUAGUAUCGGCCUGUCAUAUGAGGGUGGCUGGUGAUUAGCUCCCUUUGUGUCAUUUUCACACCUGUCCCUAUCAUAUUGCACAGCAGGCGCUUGAGCAGUGAAAUGGGGAAAGCGAGUUGCCAUCAGUUUAAUCAAGCACGUACUGUGGCCACGAAGCUUUUACAAAAAGUCUGAUGUAGUAAAUGUUUUGUUUUUUUUGGAAACAUUUUGUGGAUAUCAGACUGCUGUAAUUGCAUUUAGAAUACAAAAAAGGAAGCACAAAGAGGAAAAAGUAGAGUUGUAAUCCUGAAAUUUGCAAUAAUAAUCUGAUCCCGCUGCAAAAUGGGACGUGUGACGCCCAACAGAAGCAUCUGAUGUGCAUUUACUCCCAUUUCACCUUAUUGUUGUCAUACGUUUGUUUUGUCUAGUAACUUGGUAUCAGUACAUUUUUUAAAAACUAGACAGUAGCAAAAUAACAACACAGAACCUUUUUUUUCGAUUGCUGAUCUGACGCGAAGUUAUGGUAGCCUUUUGGUUAACAGGGGCCGCCAAGAUUGAGAAAGAAAUGGCAGGUCCUUGUGGUAGCGUUAAGGAAUGAGAGCUUCGACAGUGUCAGUGGGUAGAAGAUCCACAAACACAGGAUGUCUUGUUCGUUCAAAGGGGGAAUUAUUUGUUGUAUAAAAUCACAACACUGAUAUUUUUAUAUAUUUUAUUAAGUUUUUGUUUCCAAAAUGCUCUGUCU